rnacentral:rRNA from 1 species
GACGAAGGAUGCAAGCGUUAUCCGGAUUUAUUGGGUUUAAAGGGAGCGUAGAUGGCCUUAUAAGUCAGUGGUGAAAGCCUGUUGCUUAACAACAGAAUUGCCAUUGAUACUGUAGGGCUUGAGUAUAGUUGCUGUGGGCGGAAUAUGACAUGUAGUGGUGAAAUACUUAGAGAUGUCAUAGAACACCGAUUGCGAAGGCAGCUCACAAAACUAUAACUGACACUGAGGCUCGAAAGUGCGGGGAUCAAACAGG